CUCACUGAUUGAGAAUUUAUUAGAUUAUUCACAUUUAAAUAUAUGUGAUUACAUUUGUUUCAAUUCAUCAUAUAAAAGCAAUGAGAACUAAAGUUUUAUAGCAUGGUGAUCAAAAUCUAAUGUUACCUUUCAUUAUCCACAACUCACAUUUUGUAUUCAGCAUCACUAGUACAUGUAAGGUGUUGGAAUGUUUUAACACAUUCUUUUAGAAACUGAGAUAAAAAUAAAGAAUAUGCAGUCAGAUAAAAGUGAGAAAUAGAACAAACUAAGUUCUGCAGUACACUGGUUUCUCUCUGAACUAUCAAUGUCAUCUAGUUUAAAGGCCAAAUAAUUAGGGAGGGGAAGAAGUAUCUAAGAGUGAUCUAAGAGGAACAGUGAUCUCCUGGUGGAAUAGAAGUUCUUAAUACAUUUGGUGUCUCUAUUGCUGACAGGGGAAAUGGUGUGAAGAUGAAAAACAGGGUGUGCGGCUGCAACAGCAUCACUUUGAUCUUAGGCUACAAUUUUAAACAGCUCUACAUCCCUCAGAGUCUGGCAUAUAUUAUAUCAGCUCUUAUAGAAUUGCUACUACAGAAGGGAAUAGAGCUCAAAAGGCUCAAUGGCAGAUUUCAAGUUGCAUCCACAGAGAAUCCUGACAUCCAGCCUCAGUAUCUUGGUCAUAAUAAAAUAUCUGGCCCCAUCCAUCUUUAUUGUUCUUAACAAUCAAUAGUUUCAACAAGUACUGAGUUGCAUGUGCAUGUUGAAACUACCCCCCUGUGCACACACCCCCUGCCACAUACAUACGUUGCUCCAAAAAUAAUGUUUCUUAUUUAUUUUCAUGGAAAAUACAACAGAUAAAAAGAGUACAGUAACACUACUUUAUAGAGCAAAUUCUCUAUUAACACUGUUUUUCGAUACAGUUACCACCAUUAGCUCUGCAUUUUCCACCAUCAAUGAACAAGGACCUGUAAACCAUGCUUACAGGUGGAGGUGACCACUGCUUACAGUGGAGGUGACCACUGUCAAUGUCUCCACUGCUAAACACACCACCUAUUACCACACUGUGCUCACAUCCACUGUUUGGUCUCCAUAAACAUUCAGCAAGUUUUGAUAAAGUCAGUGGAUGCAAUAUUUUUCCACAUGGAUGAAAUAAACGACACAUCUUUGCUUCAUACACACCUCCAUGUCAGACACCGUUUUGUCAGACAGCCCUCUGCUGCCAUCUGUCACACGACAACAAAAUAUAACAGAAUAUUGGUGGGAAGAUUCAACCUCUACUGCCAUGCCACCAACAUCCACUUUUGAUGCUGUGGGGCCAACGUAAUAAAAUAAGAGGCAUUACUUUCACAGCAGCCCUCAUAUAUCCAAGAUUGAUUAGAGAAUUGAGCUGAAUGUUUCCAGUUUCCAGUAUUUUAGUUUUAGCAGAACAUAGUCUCUGGGACUUAAAAUCUAUUGACUUUUUUCUUAAUAACAGGUGUUUUUUGGUUUUUUGUUUUGUUUUGUUUUGUUUUGUUUGUUUUGUGGGUGGAUUUUUUGUUUGUUUUGUUUUCUGUUUGUUUGUUUUUUGCUUUUAUUUUAAUGGCAGAUAUAUACAGUAGAGACUGCAAUGGCACCUAUCCCACCUGAAAUUUAGAAACUUUGUUAUAAGCUUUACCAUUUUGUUUUCAUAGCAUCAUGCAUUAGUACCACAACCCUGUGGAGGAAACAUAAAGAGUUAACAAGCAAUAAAGAAGGACAAAUUUCCAUAUAUAUCUUUUUCUUUCUAAUGUUUACAGGCUACUACAAAGUUUCAUCCUGAGAUCCUCACCAGCUAAAAAUGGUCAGUUUUAUUUUCUAAACCUUUAGGUUCAUUUUACAACUACUCUGCUUCACAUAGAUCAUGCCAUGUAUGUAGGUGAAUAUAAUUACAAUUCCGUAAUUCUGAAGUCAAAUUCAACUCUGCUUAGCGAAGCCAAACAUUUUCCAGCUGACCUUACUCCUGAACUGUUCUACUGCAUUUACCUUCUAGCAUGGCCAAGCACAUUUCCCUUCUGCAUUUCCAUAUUUGACCGUAUUCCAAGUUUUGCAAGAGCUGCAUAGAAGUGGUUAUUUCCUUUCUUUUCCAUUUACAUGUGUAUCUCUGUGUUGCUUAUCCUGUGUGUGCCAUCAUCAUGUACUGAACCACAUUCCUCCACACAUCUUGCACUCUGGAGGAAGACUCAACUGUACCCUGCGGAAAAAGAGUCCCAGAUUCUUACUGUGAAGAACUGGAAAGCUGGUCUACAGUAAAGCACCAUAAGAACACAAAUUCCCUAUGUAAAGAUGGAGGACGUAACACUACACUGUACUUCAACAUUUCAACUAAUUAAGAG
ensembl:lncRNA